rnacentral:misc_RNA from 1 species
GAUGAAGAACGUAGCGAAAUGCGAUAAGUAAUGUGAAUUGCAGAAUUCAGUGAAUCAUCGAAUCUUUGAACGCACCUUGCGCCCUUUGGCUAUUCUGAAGGGCAUGCCUGUUUGAGUAUCAUGAACACCUCAACUCUCAUGGUUUGCCAUAAUGAGCUUGGACUUUGGGGGUCUUGCUGGCCUACGGUCAGCUCCUCUCAAAUGAAUCAGCUUGCCAGUGUUUGGUAGAGUCGCAGGUGUGAUAACUAUCUACGCUUGUGGUUUUCUGCCAGAUAACCUUCAGUGAUGGAGGUUCGCUGGAGCUUAUAAAUGUCUCUCCCCAGUGAGGACAGCUUUUUGAACGUUUGAUCUCAAAUCAGGUAGGACUACCCGCUGAACUUAAGCAUAUCAAUAAGCGGAGGA